GUCUACAGCCUUGCCACCCUGAACGCGCAUGAUCUCGUCUGAUCUUGGAAGCUAAGCAGGGUCAGGCCUGGUUAGUACUUGGAUGGGAGAAAGUAAGAAAGAGAAGGCA
rnacentral:rRNA from 1 species